UCAGUCGGUCGGGCAGCCGCGCUUGUCAUAUGCCGAAAGGCGGCAGGUGAGGAAAGUCCGGGCUCCAUGGAAACACGAUGCCGGGUAACGCCCGGCGGGGCGACCAGGGACAGUGCCACAGAGUAGACCGCCCCGUCUUCCGUACCGCUUGGUCAAGCGGCAGGGAUGACGGGGUAAGGGUGAAAGGGUGGGGUAAGAGCCCACCGCGCCGGUGGCAACACAGGCGGCAAGGUAAACCCCAUUGGGAGCAAAACCGAAUAGGGACGGCGCGCCGGUUCGCAAGAACCGGCAAUCAGUUCCGGAUCAGCCGUCCGGGUGGGUUGCAAGAGGCGGGUGGCGACAUCCGUCCCAGAUGAAUGGCUGCCACGUUGGACGCAAGUCCGGCCAUACAGAACCCGGCUUACAGACCGACUGACACU
rnacentral:RNase_P_RNA from 1 species